rnacentral:rRNA from 1 species
GACGAACGGCUGGCGGCGGUGCUUAACACAUGCAAGUCGAACGGAGUUACGUAUGAAGUAUUUCGGUACGGACUAUGUAACUUAGUGGCGAACGGGGUGAGUAACACGUGGGCAACCUGCCCUUAACCGGGGGAUAACAUUGUGAAAACAGUGCUAAUACCGCAUAACAGAGUAUCGGGCAUCCGAUAUUUUAAAAGGAGCAAUCCGGUUUAGGAUGGGCCCGCGUCCAAUUAGCUAGUUGGUGAGGUAACGGCUCACCAAGGCUACGAUUGGUAGCCGAACUGAGAGGUUGAUCGGCCACAUUGGGACUGAGACACGGCCCAGACUCCUACGGGAGGCAGCAGUGGGGAAUAUUGGGCAAUGGGCGAAAGCCUGACCCAGCGACGCCGCGUGAAGGAUGAAGGUCUUCGGAUUGUAAACUUCUUUGAUCAGGGAAGAAAGAAAUGACGGUACCUGAAGAACAAGCCACGGCUAACUACGUG